CAGUGGCAGCGCGGUGCGCGCCAGCGCUUCCCAGGUGCGGCCCGGCGAAUAGUGGCGUUCCAUGUCGCCGGCCACCGA
rnacentral:tRNA from 2 species